UACGUAGGGUGCAAGCGUUAAUCGGAAUUACUGGGCGUAAAGCGUGCGCAGGCGGUUGGGCAAGACCGAUGUGAAAUCCCCGGGCUUAACCUGGGAAUGGCAUUGGUGACUGCACGGCUAGAGUGUGGCAGAGGGGGGUAGAAUUCCACGUGUAGCAGUGAAAUGCGUAGAGAUGUGGAGGAAUACCGAUGGCGAAGGCAGCCCCCUGGGAUAACACUGACGCUCAUGCACGAAAGCGUGGGGAGCAAACAGG
rnacentral:rRNA from 1 species